rnacentral:rRNA from 1 species
UGGGGAAUAUUGCACAAUGGGCGGAAGCCUGAUGCAGCAACGCCGCGUGAGUGAUGAAGGCCUUCGGGUUGUAAAGCACUUUUGUCCGGAAAGAAAUCCUUGGCUCUAAUACAGUCGGGGAUGACGGUACCGGAAGAAUAAGCACCGGCUAACUACGUGCCAGCAGCCGCGGUAAUACGUAGGGUGCAAGCGUUAAUCGGAAUUACUGGGCGUAAAGCGUGCGCAGGCGGUUUGCUAAGACCGAUGUGAAAUCCCCGGGCUCAACCUGGGAACUGCAUUGGUGACUGGCAGGCUAGAGUAUGGCAGAGGGGGGUAGAAUUCCACGUGUAGCAGUGAAAUGCGUAGAGAUGUGGAGGAAUACCGAUGGCGAAGGCAGCCCCCUGGGCCAAUACUGACGCUCAUGCACGAAAGCGUGGGGAGCAAACAGGAUUAGAUACCCUGGUAGUCCACGCCCUAAACGAUGUCAACUAGUUGUUGGGGAUUCAUUUCCUUAGUAACGUAGCUAACGCGUGAAGUUGACCGCCUGGGGAGUACGGUCGCAAGAUUAAAACUUAAAUGAAUUGACGGGGUCAUAGCUGUUUCCUG